UGGUCGGGAUAGCUCAGCUGGUAGAGCAGAGGACUGAAAAUCCUCGUGUCAAGAUCAAAU
rnacentral:tRNA from 1 species